rnacentral:pre_miRNA from 1 species
UCUUAUGGAUGAACAAAGAAAGUGGUUUCUUGAGAUGGAAUCUUCUGGUGCAGAUGCUGUGAA